CGUGAGCGAAGAAGGCCUUCGGGUCGUAAAGCUCUGUUGUUAGGGAAGAACAAGUAUCGGAGUAACUGCCGGUACCUUGACGGUACCUAACCAGAAAGCCACGGCUAACUACGUGCCAGCAGCCGCGGUAAUACGUAGGUGGCAAGCGUUGUCCGGAAUUAUUGGGCGUAAAGCGCGCGCAGGCGGUCCUUUAAGUCUGAUGUGAAAGCCCACGGCUCAACCGUGGAGGGUCAUUGGAAACUGGGGGACUUGAGUGUAGAAGAGGAGAGUGGAAUUCCACGUGUAGCGGUGAAAUGCGUAGAGAUGUGGAGGAACACCAGUGGCGAAGGCGACUCUCUGGUCUGUAACUGACGCUGAGGCGCUAAAGCGUGGGGAGCAAACAGGAUUAGAUACCCUGGUAGUCCACGCCGUAAACGAUGAGUGCUAAGUGUUAGAGGGUUUCCGCCCUUUAGUGCUGCAGCUAACGCAUUAAGCACUCCGCCUGGGGAGUACGGCCGCAAGGCUG
rnacentral:rRNA from 1 species